rnacentral:rRNA from 1 species
AUAUCAAUAAGCGGAGGAAAAGAAACCAACCGGGAUUGCCUCAGUAACGGCGAGUGAAGCGGCAAGAGCUCAAAUUUGAAAGCUGGCUCCUUCGGGGUCCGCAUUGUAAUUUGCAGAGGAUGCUUCGGGUGCAGCCCCCGUCUAAGUGCCCUGGAACGGGCCGUCAUAGAGGGUGAGAAUCCCGUAUGGGGCGGGGUGUCUGCGUCCGUGUGAAGCUCCUUCGACGAGUCGAGUUGUUUGGGAAUGCAGCUCUAAAUGGGUGGUAAAUUUCAUCUAAAGCUAAAUACUGGCCGGAGACCGAUAGCGCACAAGUAGAGUGAUCGAAAGAUGAAAAGCACUUUGAAAAGAGAGUUAAACAGCACGUGAAAUUGUUGAAAGGGAAGCGCUUGCAACCAGACUCGCUCGCGGGGUUCAGCCGGGCUUCGGCCCGGUGUACUUCCCCGCGGGCGGGCCAGCGUCGGUUUGGGCGGCCGGUCAAAGGCCUCCGGAAUGUAGCGCCCUUCGGGGCGCCUUAUAGCCGGGGGUGCAAUGCGGCCAGCCUGGACCGAGGAACGCGCUUCGGCACGGACGCUGGCAUAAUGGUUGUAAAC